AACGAACGCUGGCGGCAUGCCUAACACAUGCAAGUCGAACGAAGCCUUCGGGCUUAGUGGCGCACGGGUGCGUAACGCGUGGGAAUCUGCCCUUAGGUACGGAAUAACUCAUGGAAACGUGUGCUAAUACCGUAUGAUGUCUUCGGACCAAAGAUUUAUCGCCUAGGGAUGAGCCCGCGUUGGAUUAGCUAGUUGGUGAGGUAAAGGCUCACCAAGGCGACGAUCCAUAGCUGGUCUGAGAGGAUGAUCAGCCACACUGGGACUGAGACACGGCCCAGACUCCUACGGGAGGCAGCAGUGGGGAAUAUUGGACAAUGGGCGAAAGCCUGAUCCAGCAAUGCCGCGUGAGGGAUGAAGGCCUUCGGGUCGUAAACCUCUUUUCUGGGAGAAGAGACAAGGACGGUAUCCCAGGAAUAAGUCUCGGCUAACUACGUG
rnacentral:rRNA from 1 species